GACGAACCGUGCGAACGUUGUUCGGGAUCACUGGGCUUAAAGGGCGCGUAGGUGGCCUGAAAAGUUUGAUGUGAAAGCUCAGGGCUUAACCCUGAAAUGGCAUUGAAUACUGUUGGGCUGGAGGUUUGGAGGGGGGACUGGAAUUCUUGGUGUAGCAGUGAAAUGCGUAGAUAUCAAGAGGAACACCAGUGGCGAAGGCGAGUCCCUGGACAACACCUGACACUGAGGCACGAAAGCUAGGGGAGCAAACAGG
rnacentral:rRNA from 1 species